GUGCUUUUUUGGCAGCACAUAUACUAUCAUUGGAAUGAUACAGAGGAAGAUUAGGCAUGGCCCCUGCAAAAAGGAUGACAUGCAAGUUCAUGAAGCAUUCCAUAGUUAG